AUAUUUGCAACAAUAUGUUGCAGACAUCUGUAGAGGCCAAGGCAGCUACUGUCUGAAAGGGAAAAAAAAAACAGGAUGUCAGUACUAUGGAAAAUUGGACAAGCGUCGCCGGUUUACGAGUCAAUGACGACUACCAUUUUACGGAAGAGUGUGUUUUCGUAAGUUCGCAACCAUGCUGGCAGCUACUGAAGCUAUAUAUUACAAAUAUGUUUCUUUUUAGCGGAAGUAGAAGUAAAGAGGAAAGAGCUGUUAUCAUUUCAUGAAAUUCUGAGCAAAUUAUGUAUUUUUUAAAAUUGAUGAAAAACGUUGCGUUUUUGAAAAUCAGUCAAGUUUGGGACGCUAUGGCUACUUCUGUGAACAUCUUAGCUUGUUCAUAUUUGCAGUAUGAAUAGGCCUUUAUGUAAAUAAUGAACCUGUGCAUUUGUAUUUCUCUAAUAAUUUUCAAAGUAAUAAUUUUUCAUGCUCGAAACACCAAGGCAAAAGUGCUCCUCGAUUCAAAAAUCUAUAAUAAAAAAAAAACACAAUCUCAAAUUUGUUCAAAGUCCCCCAAAAUUUUCUCAAAGGACUGCAGAAUGAUAUGAAAAAACAUGUUGCAUCAUUUUUAUUGGAACAAAAGCAGAAAAUGCCAAACAUUGCGUUUUCAGAGCGUGAUGGCUACUGCGUAAAGGGCAUCUCUAGUAACAAGAAAAUACAAUAACACGUCUUUUUUUCUUCUCUGAGCUUCGCUAAACAACAGUAAUGAUCUAUUGUCGGAAAGUGGGAACUGUUUUGUAAAGAAAAACAUCGUUCCAAUUAAAUGCAUUUGCGUGGUUUGCGACUUCACGCAGAGACAUCCCUCAGUCCACAGUAGGCACUUUCAGUUGUAGCCUCCUUUUCUUUCAUCUAUUUCAGUUGAGUAUAAUUCAUAUCUUGCAUGCUAAAGAACGCAUUCCCUCUAUACGUCUCUUAUGAUGUUGUGCUGUGCCAGAAUUGAGAGAUUGGUAUGAAAGGCAACGUCUCUUCAGGAAUGGAAAUGAAUUUCUGGAGGGCGGUCGCCAAGAGCUGUGGUUAUUGUUGGCCAAAACGUGUACAUUGUCAAACUUUAUGUCAUCAAUGCAGAGUUUAAAGAGAAUGGAUUACGUGAAGAUUGGUGGCAGAAGUUCUGACCACGGACAAAACACGUUUUGUUUGCAUUGCAUCUACUUUUCUUUGCAUGUCCUUGUAUCUCUUGAAGCAGUGCUGGCAGAUCUGGUCUCCCCCUUGAAUUGAGCGCGCAUCCUGCUUCAUGACCCUCCGCAAAAGAGAGACUCGAUCCGAUAUCUUCUACAGAACGAAAAUUCCGCUGCAGCAGAAUAUUUUUUUUUUUUUUUUU